rnacentral:tRNA from 1 species
AACCGCGUGGCCUAAUGGACAAGGCGUCUGACUUUGAAUCAGAAGAUUGAGGGUUUGAGUCGUUUCGUGGUUA